rnacentral:rRNA from 1 species
AUUGAACGCUGGCGGCAGGCCUAACACAUGCAAGUCGAACGGUAACAGGAAGCAGCUUGCUGCUUUGCUGACGAGUGGCGGACGGGUGAGUAAUGUCUGGGAAACUGCCCGAUGGAGGGGGAUAACUACUGGAAACGGUAGCUAAUACCGCAUAACGUCGCAAGACCAAAGAGGGGGACCUUAGGGCCACUUGCCAUCGGAUGUGCCCAGAUGGGAUUAGCUAGUAGGUGGGGUAACGGCUCACCUAGGCGACGAUCCCUAGCUGGUCUGAGAGGAUGACCAGCCACACUGGAACUGAGACACGGUCCAGACUCCUACGGGAGGCAGCAGUGGGGAAUAUUGCACAAUGGGCGCAAGCCUGAUGCAGCCAUGCCGCGUGUAUGAAGAAGGCCUUCGGGUUGUAAAGUACUUUCAGCGGGGAGGAAGGGAGUAAAGUUAAUACCUUUGCUCAUUGACGUUACCCGCAGAAGAAGCACCGGCUAACUCCGUG